rnacentral:rRNA from 1 species
GAUGAACGCUGGCGGCGUGCCUAAUACAUGCAAGUCGAGCGAACAGACGAGGAGCUUGCUCCUCUGACGUUAGCGGCGGACGGGUGAGUAACACGUGGAUAACCUACCUAUAAGACUGGGAUAACUUCGGGAAACCGGAGCUAAUACCGGAUCAUAUAUUGAACCGCAUGGUUCAAUAGUGAAUGACGGUUUUGCUGUCACUUAUAGAUGGAUCCGCGCCGCAUUAGCUAGUUGGUAAGGUAACGGCUUACCAAGGCAACGAUGCGUAGCCGACCUGAGAGGGUGGUCAGCCACACUGGAACUGAGACACGGUCCAGACUCCUACGGGAGGCAGCAGUAGGGAAUAUUCCGCAAUGGGCGAAAGCCUGACGGAGCAACGCCGCGUGAGUGAUGAAGGUCUUCGGAUCGUAAAACUCUGUUAUUAGGGAAGAACAAAUGUGUAAGUAACUAUGCACGUCUUGACGGUACCUAAUCAGAAGGCCACGGCUAACUACGUG